ACCACACCACCAGCCCUGCGGAGCUGAGCGUCGACAGCCGGUGAGCCAGGGCAUUGCUGUGAUACACAGGGUCUGACAACAGGGCUGGACAUGCAGCUUGUGCAGCUAUUUGCUACUCCAGAUCCCUCAUUGGCAACCUUCACCCUCUCUAGCCGGGCUCCACAGGUAAAUGAUGACAGGAAAAGCCGUGCGUAAAUCCACCAACAUGAGCUUAUGCACAUACUUCAGUCGCAAUCACAAGAUUUCUAGAACAACAAAACACCAACCUAAAAUUCCCCAGCAACAAUUUAUUUCAUGCUGACUGCAGGAGGAAACUCACUUAAUGCUAUCUGUCCUACCUUGAACAAUUGCCCCAAACAUAUUAUUAAAUUUAAAUACAAAUUAACUAUUCUGUGAACUCUGAGGGAAACAAACCACUAUUAACGAGUCAAGAGGAGCUUUUUUUCACAAAAUACAUCUUCCCUUCUGAGUUAAGCUUCAAGGCUCCAGCAAUCUGCAGUGGCUUGGGCCAAAAGCUGCACCAGAAGAGCAGGUCAUUGACAGAUUUAUUUGGAAUUGAACUGGCUAAAAAAUCUGCAAGACACUGCUAGCCCACGAAGGGAUGUGUAUUUCUGGCAGAAGGGAAUGGCUGAACAUCUUCAGGCGUUGUUAAUCUGACUGAAGUACAUCAGGCCCUCAGCCAAAUAGGGGAAGAUGAGACUGCAGACCCCAUUAAAUCAUCUCGUCAGCACAAUCUCUGGUGAAGGAAUACAGUAACUUCAUCCU
rnacentral:lncRNA from 1 species